UUUCUUAUUAACAUUCUGACAAUUCAUUGUGAUUCUUGCUGAUGCUUUUUGGGUUCAGAUGAAUUCAUGGCAGUGUUUUUAAAUGCUGCCACCAUGUAUCAACAGUGUUGCAGCGGUGUCUUAGUUGAUUUGUGAUGUGGUGGGCAAGACACUUUUUGAGGCAAAAGCCAAGAAUCAUCACAAAUUCUCCAGCUUGUAGAGUUUGUCAAUGCGUGAAAGUGUAAAACUCACUUUCCUCGCUUUAUUCAGUUUUAUGUUCUGUACCGUGCACAGUAUGUUUUGCUCAAAACCUCUUUCACAUACAUUUUGUCUCUUUUUUUUUGUAAUCAUAAGAUGAAAAAUGUGGAUUUACAGAUGGGCAGUGGAGGUUAAAUUCACAAGUUUAUUGUUUUAAUUGGUGAUAAUGUGGCUUUUAAAACAGUAGAUCAGGGGAACCACGUGGUUUCAUUUGCAGUGUGAAUAUUGAGAUGAAUGUGUUAUAUUGUACAUGUUAGCUACAAAAUAUUAUACCAUUUUGUAAAUCGAGUGCCACAUAUUUCACUUUUAGGUAAGUGACAAUUAGAAUGAGACCUUCUCAGACAUCUCUAGAAAGUGCCUUAGCCAUUACUGACGAUGUCAGACAGGUGGUGCACAGACAGAAACACUUUAAGGGAAAACUGAAAAACAGUAUUUGAGAUGUUGAAAACCAGUUCUUCCAUCUAAUGUUCUGAUAUCAUACCACUUGGAAUUGUCGCACAGUUUUAGCAUUGGGCAGGGCAGAUUACUGGUAUAUCCAGUAUUUGUUCUGUAGAAUGUACACCAGAAACAUUAAACAGGUUUCUCUGUGCUCUAUGAACUGGUUUCAAAGCUUUAACACCAAUAUAAGGUUAUUAACAUUUAUGAACUGGCUGUUGACCACCAGAUAUUCAUCAUCUCCAUUUAUUUUCAUGUAAUCCUGUAUUUCUAGACUAUUUUGUCUUUUUUGUAAAAGAUCAAUAAACAUGUUCACAUAGAAAA